GCCGCCUCUCCCCCUAUCCCCCUGCCUCUCUCUUUCGUUUCAAGUCCCGAUCCCCCUCUCUAGGGUUCCGUUUUCGAAUCGAAGUCUAGGGUUCCGACUUCGAGUCCUUCGAACUGGUAAGGUGUCCUCUCGCUUCAUUUUUUUUGCCACUUGAAAGUGUGAAUUUUCGAUUCUUUUAUGUCAUCUCGGUGUUGGUUGAAGUAUUUAGCUGUCUGUGUCAAAAAGUUUGGAUUUUUGAUGACGCUGGUUGUAAAUUGAUGGGAGCUUGAUCAGCCUGCAAUUGGAGUCGGAGCUGGGCUUCUUGUGUGCUAUUAGGAUUGUUUCUGUUAGUUUGUAGGAUAUUUAGAUCAAUAUAUAUAGAUAAAAUGUUGAGGAUGAGUUGAUCCUGCUUUAGGAACUACUUCUUCAACUAUUAAUUUUUUUUUGACUUGGUCUUGUGAAAUCGGAGAAGGAAUUUGGGUGUUGCGAGCCUGCAAUUGCUGCUCUCUGUUUCCUUUUCCUUGAAUGAACACAUUGGUGUGCAAUGUGUACGGGUCUCCGCUGAGAUUUCCAAGGAACUCGAAGUCGAUCUCAUCAUGAAUAGGCCCUUGUGAUGAAAGCUGAAAUCAUGAUUAUGUAUCCUCCUCUGUGACACGCGGAGCACUAUGUCAACCUAUUGCUGUUUGUAAAGCAUGAAGGUGAAAUGGGCAGGAAACCUUGUAAGAUCUCAAGGCUUGGAUAGGAAGAUGAAAUCAUGAUUUACACUUGUGCUACUUCUCAGCUUGUUCUUUUCGGCUGAUGCAAAUAUUAUGUGCAAUUAAUGAGUGGAGUCUUACUGUUUUACCUGCUUAAAUGAUGAAUCAUAGUUUGUUAUUAAUCUUUUCUAACUUCAUUUGAGAUAAUCCCCUAUCAUGCUUGCUUAUUAUGGCUAUAAAUAUUGUCGGUUCUCGCUCGGUAUUGAGUAAAUUGACUGGAACGCAAUGGAGCAUUGGAGCAUUGGACCCAAGUUGAGCGUGACAAAGGGUUUGGAAUAUGCAAGUCUUGGAGUUUGAGAGAAUUAUAUUCCACAGUUCAGGAAAAUCUACAGGGAUUCUAUUUCUACAUAAGAUGAACAUGGGCUUGUGAUAACUGAAGGUUUGCUGAAGCUUAAGGUAAUGAAUCCGAUAUCAGGUGAAGGGUCUUCAUGCUUGUUGCUUCUCUCGGCAAAUUCUGGGAUGUCAAUUUGGGGGAAUGAAACAGAAUUGGUAUCAGAACGCUAUGUGUAAUAAUUAAGAUCUUAUUUUUGCCAGCUAGCCUUCAUUCUGUUUUGUUGAUACUCUGAAGUCUGUUAUUGCCAUUAUUCUAUUUUGUCUGAUUCUGUUUGCUGGGUUAUACUGUGCUUUCCCUUUAAUAUUCACGAUGUAAUUAAUAUAUGUAUUUUUGCCAGCUAGCCUUUCAUUGCGGUGUCUGAUUCUGUUUUGUUGAUAUUCAUUUGAUA